UACGAAGGGGGCUAGCGUUGUUCGGAAUUACUGGGCGUAAAGGGCGCGUAGGCGGUGUGUCAAGUCAGGCGUGAAAGCCCCGGGCUCAACCUGGGAACCGCGCUUGAGACUGGCACGCUCGAGUUCGGGAGAGGAUGGUGGAAUUCCCAGUGUAGAGGUGAAAUUCGUAGAUAUUGGGAAGAACACCGAUGGCGAAGGCAGCCAUCUGGACCGACACUGACGCUGAGGCGCGAAAGCUAGGGGAGCAAACGGG
rnacentral:rRNA from 1 species